UACGGGAGGUGCAAGCGUUAUCCGGAUUCACUGGGUUUAAAGGGUGCGUAGGCGGGCAGGUAAGUCAGUGGUGAAAUCUCCGGGCUUAACCCGGAACUGCCGUUGAUACUAUCUGUCUUGAAUAUCGUGGAGGUAAGCGGAAUAUGUCAUGUAGCGGUGAAAUGCUUAGAUAUGACAUAGAACACCCAUUGCGAAGGCAGCUUACUACACGAUCAUUGACGCUGAGGCACGAAAGCGUGGGGAGCAAACAGG
rnacentral:rRNA from 1 species